rnacentral:rRNA from 1 species
AUUGAACGCUGGCGGCAUGCCUUACACAUGCAAGUCGAACGGCAGCACGGGAGCAAUCCUGGUGGCGAGUGGCGAACGGGUGAGUAAAGUAUCGGAACGUGCCCAGUCGUGGGGGAUAACGUAGCGAAAGUUACGCUAAUACCGCAUACGAUCUAUGGAUGAAAGCGGGGGAUCGCAAGACCUCGCGCGAUUGGAGCGGCCGAUAUCAGAUUAGGUAGUCGGUGGGGUAAAGGCGUACCAAGCCGACGAUCUGUAGCUGGUCGGAGAGGACGACCAGCCACACUGGGACUGAGAAACGGCCCAGACUCCUACGGGAGGCAGCAGUGGGGAAUGUUGGACAAUGGGCGAAAGCCUGAUCCAGCCAUGCCGCGUGCAGGAUGAAGGCCUUCGGGUUGUAAACUGCUUUUGUACGGAACGAAAAGGUUUGGCCUAAUAAGCUGAGCUCAUGACGGUACCGUAAGAAUAAGCACCGGCUAACUACGUGCCAGCAGCCGCCGUAA